rnacentral:rRNA from 1 species
AGCCUAGAGAGAACUGUUUUAGGUAAGGCCUGCCCAAUGCCGAAACUGGUAAAUGGCCGCAGUACCCUGACUGUGCUAAGGUAGCGUAAUCAGUUGGCUUUUAAAUGGAGUCGUGUAUGAAGGGACUGAUGGGGUUAAGCUGUCUCUACUAAAUUUAUUCGAAAUUAAUAAGGAGGUGAAAAUACCUCCGUGAAGAUAAAGGACGAUAAGACCCUUGGAGUUUUCACUAAAAUAGCCUUAUUGGCUUGUUGUUUUUGCUGGGGCGGCAUAGGGGGAUUUUUAAACCCCCUUUAGUUUGAUAAGCCGAAAGUUUUAAGCGUAACUAAACUACCCGAGGGAUAACAGCAUUAUUCUUUAUAGAGUUUGUGACCUCGAUGUUGGACUAGGAAUUAAUUAGGCUAGCCGCUUAAAUCUAUUGUUCUGUUCGAACUAGUUUUCC